GACGUAGGGGGCCAGCGUUGUUCGGAAUUACUGGGUGUAAAGGGUUCGUAGGCGGUGUGGCAAGUCGGGAGUGAAAUCUCUGGGCUCAACUCAGAGACUGCUUCCGAAACUGCUGUGCUGGAGUGUGGGAGAGGCGCGUGGAAUUGCAGGUGUAGCGGUGAAAUGCGCAGAUAUCAGGAGGAACACCGGUGGCGAAGGCGGGUCUCUGGGCCGAUACUGACGCUGAGGAGCGAAAGCGUGGGGAGCGAACAGG
rnacentral:rRNA from 1 species